GAGGGUGUAGCUCAAUGGUAGAGCUCAUGCUUUGCAUGCGUGAGGUCCUGGGUUCAAUCCCCAGUACCUCUG